GUGCUCGCUUCAGCAGCACAUAUACUAAAAUCAGAAUGAUACAGAGAGGAUAGGAUGACCCCUGCGCAAGGAUGACACACAAAGAUUCAGAAUUAAUUAUUUGUUUU